rnacentral:rRNA from 1 species
UACGUAGGGGGCAAGCGUUGUCCGGAUUUAUUGGGCGUAAAGAGCGUGUAGGCGGCUAGAUAGGUCCGUUGUGAAAACUCGAGGCUCAACCUCGAGACGUCGAUGGAAACCAUCUAGCUAGAGUCCGGAAGAGGAGAGUGGAAUUCCCGGUGUAGCGGUGAAAUGCGCAGAUAUCGGGAAGAACACCCGUGGCUAAGGCGGCUCUCUAGUACGGUACUGACGCUGAGACGCGAAAGCGUGGGGAGCGAACAGG